rnacentral:lncRNA from 1 species
CUUUCUUGAAGGCUUUGGACUGCAGACCAACAACAUGACAGUCAGCAGUACAGGAAAAAAUAUGUUCAACUUAAUCAAUAAUGUCUUCAAAGAAAGUCUCUUCCCUUCUUCGAAUGUCCUUCUUUGGUCUUGGCUAACAGAACCUCCUUUUGUGAAAGUAGCCAGUGGUCAAUGGACAACUCUUCACCAAGAAGGACGUAGAGGAACCAAAGGGAAGCUUAAAAAGAAGAAAACGUUGCCUAUAACUACAGGGAAAGGAGAGAGAGAAUGGCAGAAGAGGAAAAAUUGAAAGGAACCAUCUUACAAUAGAUGGCAGUCCAGGGCUGCUGAGUGAUCAAGAGAUGGACAGCAUUGCCAUCUAAGCCUACAUCUGCCUUCCAUUUUUAUCUGCAGUAAGUUAUGGAAACCACUGACCAGGGCCUACAAUUUGCUUUCCGAAUUCUUCAGAUUUUUGUGUUGUGGAGCCUAUGGACCUGUUCUCAGAAUAAUAUUUUUAAAUAAUUGAAAGAAAUAAUAAAUUUCAUUUCUGUUGUGGUUGUUGAAUUGUU